AUGUCGUCGUCGUCGUCGUCGUCGAGGCCGAGGGGCGGCAUCCGGGAGGAGACGCUGCUCCGCGUCCCGGGCGCGUCGGUGCACCUCGUGGCCGGCUCCGAGGGGCCCCUCGAGCUCGGCCGCGGCGAACUCUCCGUCGUGAGGAUCUUCAAGGACGACGUGGCCGUGACCACCGUGGUGCGCGUCGGCCGCGAACUCGGCUGGCCGCUGGCGAGGGACGAGCCCGUGGUCAAGCUCGACCGCCUGCACUACCUCUUCACGCUACCGGACAAGGACGGCGGGCUCCUCAACUAUGGCGUCUCCUUCGCCGACGCCACGCUGCUGCCGUCCUUUGACGCGCUCCUCAAGUCCAACUCCUGCUUCUCCACGCCUUCCGCGCCGUCGAGGGGCUCGAGGCCGCCGCCGCCGGCGUCGGCGUCGCCCGACGCGUACUGGAACGACUUCUCGCCGAAGGUUGGGAGCUACAACAACGUGCUCGCCAAGGCCAUCGGCGCGGGCACCGGCCACCUCGUCAAAGGCAUCUUCAUGUGCAGCGAGGCCUACGCCAGCCAGGUAGGUACUCCGCUCUGUUUCGUCCCUUGUGUUUUUUCACGACAAGGCCACCGCUCUGAAUGCACUGCCGUGCAGGUUCAAAAGGGAGCCAACCUGAUUAGCCCUCAAGCAGCCGGCGGCGCGAGCAAACGCUUCGGCGGCGCCGGUGGAGCUGACGGGAGCAGCCAGGCAGGUCCGGCGAAGCGUGGAGGAGUCAACAAGAGCCUCAAGAGGGUUAGGAAGAUGUCGGAGAUGACGGAGAAGAUGAGCAAGACGAUGCUGGACACGGUCAUCUCGGUGACGGGGUCCAUGGCCGCGCCGCUGCUCCGUUCCAACCAAGGGAAAGCCCUCCUCUCCACCGUCCCCGGAGAGGUCGUUAUCGCCUCUCUCGACGCCAUCAAUAAAGUGAUGGAUGCGGUCGAGGCUGCCGAGAGGAGGUCGCUUGCUGCGACCUCCAACGUUGUUUCUGGUGCAGUGUCCAAGAGGUAUGGAGAGAGCGCAGGGGAGGCGACCGGAGACGCAUUCGCCACGGUCGGCCACACCGUCGGGACGGCGUGGAACAUCUUCAAGAUACGCAAGGCCGUCACACCCUCGUCCUCCCUUCCGGGGAACAUGGUCAAGAGCGCCGUCAGGAACAGAAACUGA
rnacentral:rRNA from 1 species